GCCGCGUCCGCUACUCCCGGCCGACGCGUGCACCGAGUCUGGACGCCUCCGCGACGUGAGCAAGCUGCACCUGCGCAGUUCGAGCCGGCCGAUCCAGGUCCGGGCUGGAUUCGGUGGCGGGGGCGGUGGGUCCGAUGGCCUGAGAGGGCUGGGCGGGUGCGAGUUCUGGGUCGCAAGGACGGAGGAUUAAGGAGCGUGGCAGAGACGACGCGAAAGGGACGAGGCAAGAAGCAGCCGUCGGCCCGGCGCCCGCGGCGAGUAGUCCCAGGAUGCUCCGCGCCGCACCGCGCCUGGCCCCGGACUCCGUUUCCCAGCAGCCACUGCGGCUGGCGCCGACAGCCUGCCCGAGCGCUUUGGCCCCUUUGUGAGUCCGCCCGUCGGGCCAGAGAUCGAGUCCACGCCCCGGCCGCAGGGCGCUCGGCUCCCCGUCUCCGCGAACGGUGCGGAACGAAGUGCCGACUCUCGGGGAGAAGGCGCUCUGUUUUCGCUGGACUCUGCCCUUCUCCCAAAGAGAAGCCGGAAGGAGGAGGACAGAAGGGCUGUCCUAAAUUCUUAAAGCCAUGUCCGAGGAUUUGGUGACAUUUGGGGAUGUGGCUGUAGAUUUCUCUCAAGAGGAGUGGGAAUGGCUGAACCCUGCUCAGAGGAAUUUGUACAGGAAAGUGAUGUUGCAGAACUAUAGGAGCCUGGUAUCACUGGGAGUUUCAGUUUCUAAGCCAGAUGUGAUCUCAUUAUUGGAGCAAGGAAAAGAGCCCUGGAUGGUGAAGAAGGAGGGGACAAGAGGAGCAUGCCCUGAUAUUGCACUUUUUACAAAUUGAAGUUUUGUGGUGACCCUGCGUUGUCAGAUGAUGAUUGGGAGUAUGCAUUUAAAAACAAUGAAUUUUCAUCAAAGCAAGUUAUUUAUGAGGAAUCAUCCAAAGUAAGGACAAUGGGAAGAAGCCAUCUUAGUUAUAACCUUGACUGCUCCAGUUUGAGAGAAGACUCUAAAACUGAGGACUGGUUUAAGAACCACUUGGGAAGUCAGGAGAUACAUUCUAGUCAAUUGAUCAUCACUCAUAAAGAAAUCCAGAGUAAAGAUCAAAGUAAUGAAUAUACUAAAUCUUGGCAAACUUUCCAUCAGGAUGCAAUCUUUGAUAUAAAGCAGAGUUUUCCCACCAAAGAAAGAAUACAUAAGCAUGACCCAAGAAAGAGAAGCUACCGGAAAAAAUCUGUUGAAAUGAAACGUAAGAAAGUCUAUGUAGAAAAGAAACUUUUGAAAUGUAAUGAAUGUGAGAAGGUUUUCAACCAGAGCUCAUCUCUCACUCUUCAUCAGAGAAUUCACACUGGAGAGAAACCAUAUGCAUGUGUUGAAUGUGGGAAAACCUUCAGCCAGAGUGCAAACCUAGCUCAACAUAAGAGAAUACAUACUGGAGAGAAACCCUAUGAAUGUAAAGAAUGUAGGAAAGCCUUCAGCCAGAAUGCCCAUCUUGCUCAACAUCAGAGAGUUCAUACUGGAGAGAAACCUUAUCAGUGUAAAGAAUGUAAAAAAGCCUUCAGCCAGAUUGCACACCUGACUCAACAUCAGAGGGUUCAUACUGGGGAAAGACCUUUUGAAUGUAUUGAAUGUGGAAAGGCCUUUAGUAAUGGCUCAUUUCUUGCUCAGCAUCAGAGAAUUCACACAGGAGAGAAGCCUUAUGUAUGUAACGUGUGUGGGAAGGCCUUUAGCCAUCGGGGAUACCUAAUUGUACAUCAGAGAAUUCAUACCGGAGAGAGACCCUAUGAAUGUAAGGAAUGUAGGAAAACCUUCAGCCAGUAUGCACACCUGGCUCAACAUCAGAGAGUUCAUACUGGAGAGAAACCUUAUGAGUGUAAAGUAUGUAGGAAAGCCUUCAGCCAGAUUGCAUACCUUGAUCAACAUCAGAGGGUUCAUACUGGAGAGAAACCCUAUGAAUGUAUCGAAUGUGGGAAGGCCUUUAGCAAUAGUUCGUCACUUGCACAACAUCAGAGAAGUCAUACCGGAGAGAAACCUUACAUGUGUAAGGAAUGCAGGAAAACAUUUAGCCAGAAUGCAGGCCUUGCUCAACAUCAGCGAAUUCACACUGGAGAGAAACCUUACGAAUGUAACAUUUGUGGGAAAGCCUUUAGCUAUAGUGGAUCUCUUACUCUACAUCAAAGAAUUCAUACUGGGGAAAGACCCUAUGAAUGUAAGGAUUGCAGGAAAUCUUUCAGGCAGCGAGCACACCUUGCUCAUCAUGAGAGAAUUCAUACGAUGGAGUCAUUCUUGACUCUUUCCUCUCCCUCACCCUACGUGUCCAGUCAGUUGCCAAGACCUGUAGGUUCUAUCUCCUAAAUAUGCCUUGAAUCUGACUCUAAUUAAUUUCCAUUCUGUCAUCUUUGUCCAGUACACUACAAUCUAUUUGACAUCGACUAUGGAAAUAACUUUCUAAUUGAUCUCCCUGUGUUUACCAUUUCCUGCUAGUAGUGCAUAUUGCAGUCAAACUUGUGUUUAAAAAGUUUAAUCAUAUCACUUCUCCUUCAUUAAAACCCUUCAUUGGCAUCCCAUAGGUCUUAGGGCAAGGCACACAUUACUCAAAAUAGCCUAAAAGACCCCCAAACCCCCAAUACCUUGUUCCAGUCUACAUUUCAGAGUCCCAUCUCAUGUCAAUAUCCAUCUCAUUCUUUGGCUACUUAUCAACAUUAAGAAUUUAUAGUGCAGCAUCAAAUAGAUCUGGGUUCCAAUUCUUACUCUUCCAUUUUCUAGCUCUCUAGUUUUGGAGAAACAUUUUGUCCCUUGUAAGCUUCAGUUUUUUUAUUUAUAUUAUGGAAAUAAUAAUGGUACUACCUCAAGUUAAUGGGAGGAUUAAAUGAGAUAAUGCAUGUGAACUGCUCAGCAGAGUGCCUAGUAUAAAGUAAUCAGUAAACACUAAUGUAAAAUAAAAAGGUACUAUGAUAAAAAGAUCAUCUCAGCAAUGAUUAUCUGCGAAAUAACAAAGCAACCCAAAAGACUGUAAAGGUUUUUGAUUAGGAACAGCAGUCAUUGUUCUAAAGGUGGGUGAUAGUAUCCAGCACAGCAGAGUUAAUGUUGGAGUCCAUGAUGACAGAGUAAGAUGGGGGCUUCUGUUUCAACAUGAAUACACAGAGAUAUGAUUUUGUUGAUAAGAAAAACUAACUUCAUUAUAUAGUCAACAGUUUUAAGAAGCCAGGUGUUAAAAAUCACUUGUAAUACGUAAAAUUUACUGAGAUGUAUUCAUCAUUUGCAUUUAAACAAAGGCAAUAUAGUUUUUAAAAGAGAGAAAACUUUAAAAGAUCAAUAACCAAAGAAGAAGAGAAAGUAAAAUUUAACUCACCUCUCCUAAUUCCAGGUAGAUGAAUUGUAUUAAACCCAUGUCGUUUAAAUAGAAAAGUUGUUAAGCUUCUAAGCUGUAACUCCAAAACUAGAGGGAAAAGAAACCAAAACUAUAGGUCAAAACUCAUCAACAUGGAUAUGCAUCAAGUUUCAAAUGAAUAUGAAUACCUUUAGAUGGGCAUGUGUUUUCCAGUUCUCCACAAUUCAAACCGCUACCUGUUCCCUUACAUCUGACUUGUUUUACACUUUAUAUUACUUCCUGAAUCCUGAAGGCUUUGAGCAUGCAAUCAAUGCAGUAACCAGUUCUCUUGUGAACAUAAGUACAAAGAAAAUGACCAAAGUUUAAUGGAGGAUUAAAAGAAUAGACAUUUUAUCCUUCUGUAGGGGAAGACUCAGUAUUCUACAGAUGUUAGUAGGCCCCAAAUUAAUAGAUUCUUUGUACCUGACAAGACUUUUUUAAGGCUUGAAACAUUGUGUUUGUCAACAUACACACAUACACAUUGACAACAUACACACAUAAAGGAAAUAUAUAAUAAAGGUGAUAUUUCAUGUCAGUGGCUUAACAGUAUUGGUAAAUGAGAUUCUGCUCAAAAAAAUUAUUUCUGUACAAAACAAUCGCCUCAUUCUUUUAUCCAGAUGCAAAACAGACUCAUUAGAGGACACCGUAACAUGCUUUAUAAUCAUGGAGAACAAUCUUCCUAAAUACGACAUGAGAUCCAGAAGCCACACACACAAAGAUUCUAGGUGUGACUAUAUAAGAACUUUAAUAAGCUUUUAUAUAGUCAAAGAUAGUACAAACAAAAGGUUUUUAAACAUUAGAAUUGGAAAAAAAUCAUUAAAAUAUGUUUAACCUAUGAAGUUCGUAUCCUUAAGGUAAAAGUGCUCCUACGAGUCAUUUAGAAAAAUGACACCUCCUCCCCUCAUGGGCAAAAUGGUAUAAAGGCAACAGGUGACUGAUGAAAGUGGUAAGUACUGAAUCUCACAAGGAUCAGAACACAAGUUAAACAAAUGAACUACCAUGUUUCAAUAUCAGAUUGAUAAAAUUUGCAUUGCAAAAGCAUAGGAGAGGAGGUACUUCUGUGUACUGAUGUAAGGGUGUAUGAAUUUGUACAGUAUUUCUGAAAGGUAACUUGUCAGCAUCAAAAAUUUUCAUUGGGAAAAUCAAGGUUUUCUUUUGCAGUUAAACACAAGUUUAUCUUUCCUCCAUAUCCUAUUAAACAGAUAAAACAAUUUAAAAGGUAUCAGAAAAGAGCAGAAGUCAUCAGUGGAUGAAAGAAUCAAAUUUUAUAAAAGACAAAAGGGAAAAGAGUGCUUAUUCAUGAAAUGUUGCAGAAGAAG